rnacentral:rRNA from 1 species
GAUGAACGCUAGCGGCAGGCUUAACACAUGCAAGUCGAGGGGCAGCACGGAGAUAGCUUGCUAUCUUGGGUGGCGACCGGCGCACGGGUGCGUAACGCGUAUCCAACCUUCCCGUUACUCCGGGAUAGCCUUCCGAAAGGGAGAUUAAUACCGGAUGGUGUUCAAGUGAUGCAUAUUAUUUGAACUAAAGAUUUAUCGGUAACGGAUGGGGAUGCGUGACAUUAGAUAGAUGGCGGGGUAACGGCCCACCAUGUCCACGAUGUCUAGGGGUUCUGAGAGGAAGGUCCCCCACACUGGAACUGAGACACGGUCCAGACUCCUACGGGAGGCAGCAGUGAGGAAUAUUGGUCAAUGGCCGGAAGGCUGAACCAGCCAAGUAGCGUGAAGGAUGAAGGUUCUAUGGAUUGUAAACUUCUUUUAUACGGGAAUAAAACCUACCCACGUGUGGGAGGCUUGUAUGUACCGUAUGAAUAAGCAUCGGCUAACUCCGUGCCAGCAGCCGCGG